rnacentral:tRNA from 1 species
ACNGAGGUAGCAAAGCCUGGAAAAUGCCAAAGGCCUAAGCCCUUUUAUCAGAGGUUCAAUUCCUCUCCUCGGCU